CUGUACUAGAUGGGGAGAUAGCGGUGCCCUGUAACCCGCAAUCCGCUUUAGCGGGGUUGAAUUCCAUCCCGAGGCAAUUUGUCUGUGAUGCAGUCCUAUGCAAGUAGUGUUGAUAGAUGGGUCCCAAGCAAUGGAAGCUCAUGAAUCCCGUCAGGUUCGGAAGAAAGCAGCGGUAAGUGAUACCUUUCAUGUGACUUGGGGAUGCCUAUAAGGAGCAAACUACAUGGGCAACGGUUGGAGGCAUUUGUCGGAGGAUGGUGUGCAG
rnacentral:SRP_RNA from 2 species